AUUGAACGCUGGCGGCAGGCCUAACACAUGCAAGUCGAGCGGAUGAAGGGAGCUUGCUCCUGGAUUCAGCGGCGGACGGGUGAGUAAUGCCUAGGAAUCUGCCUGGUAGUGGGGGAUAACGUCCGGAAACGGGCGCUAAUACCGCAUACGUCCUGAGGGAGAAAGUGGGGGAUCUUCGGACCUCACGCUAUCAGAUGAGCCUAGGUCGGAUUAGCUAGUUGGUGGGGUAAAGGCCUACCAAGGCGACGAUCCGUAACUGGUCCGAGAGGAUGAUCAGUCACACUGGAACUGAGACACGGUCCAGACUCCUACGGGAGGCAGCAGCGGGGAAUAUUGGACAAUGGGCGAAAGCCUGAUCCAGCCAUGCCGCGUGUGUGAAGAAGGUCUUCGGAUUGUAAAGCACUUUAAGUUGGGAGGAAGGGCAGUAAGUUAAUACCUUGCUGUUUUGACGUUACCAACAGAAUAAGCACCGGCUAACUUCGUG
rnacentral:rRNA from 1 species